GUAUUACAACAUAUAUGUAUUCCUAUGUAAUACUGUUAUAUAAAUUGGGUGUUGUUAUGCAGAGCAUUGUAUAAUGUAUAUCAAAUAAUAGGGAGUGGUCAAAUCUACAAUUAGAUUAAUUUAAAAUGUUUCAUUAUAUGGAAUCACUCUGGGGAUUGAAGAAAUAAUAGACAAAAUCAUAAACGUCUAGAAUGAAAUGUUUGACUUUUUGACAUAAAAUUCAAGAUUGUCAAAAGUUAUUGCGUAUUUAUCAAAUAUACAAACAAACCGUCGAAAAAUAAAUAUAAAUUAUAUUAAAAUAUAGUGUAACGGUUUUACUAACGGCAUAUGUCUUAUAUACUGAAGUAUUUUGUUAACAAUGUCGGUAGCUCUCGAUUUCGACGAUUCCUUUUGGAUAAAUUGUCCUUCUGAUAUACUGAUAUUAAUUUUCAAGAGUCUUGAUAUUAAUUCCCUUAUUAAUUGUAUGCAUGUUAACAAAACAUGGUCAGAUACAGUUUAUUACUAUUGUCAACAUUAUAACCUCUGGGGAAAACUUUUAGAGAAAAUUUCUCAUAAAAAUGGUUUGUCUUAUGGACUAAAAUCUCAAUUGAAUGACAAACAUUUAUUUCUUAGUGCUCUGAAUUGGUUGAGUAUUCAAAACUCACAUAUUUUACCUUGCCAUAAAUAUAGCAUUGAAAAAAUAAGGAGCAUGUGUAUGUUAAAGGAAAUGCUUUUUGUGACAUCCAAUUUAUCAUUAAAUUUUAUCGAUAUUCGACAAAAGAAGAUGAUCAAAAGACUUGAACAUAUGUGCCUUGAAUAUAUAGAAACCAGAUCUUUAAUCGCUGAAUUAACUUUACCAAACCUUGAUGUGAUUGGUUACAAUGCACUGACUCUUAUAAACAAAUUACACACCAAUGUUUGUGAAUGCACUGAUGUGAAGAAAAUAAUUCUUUUUGAUAUAAGUUUAUUCAAGUAAGUUUUGGUAUUGAAUCAAUAUCACAAAAUGGAUUUAAUAUAAAUCUUAAAAAAAAUCCUUUUGAGGUACACGUGGAUACCUGUUAUGUGAUUGAUAUUAAAAAUGUUCUGUGGCUCUAUACAGCAGAGGAAUGUUGUUGGGAUACCAAAGUUCUGGCUAGAUAUUACGGCAACAAAGAAUCAAUUACACUUAUUCAUGUAUAUAUUGAUGAUGUGUAUGUGUUACUUAAAACUGGUGAUAUACUAAAGUUAGACAGGAAAUGUAAGAAAUUUGAGAAAUUAUUAAAUUUGGAUAUACCUCAUUAUUUAUUGGACAAAGAAUUGUUUAUGUUUCACAAAUAUAGUCUGAUUGUGGCAGUGCCGAGUGAUAAAACCUACGAGUCAUAUCCUUCCAAAGAACAUAAUCAGUCCAUAUUUACCUGUCCUGGUUUGACUUGUUUGUUAGAACAUGGUCCAGUUUUGAUUACAGGAUUUGAAAAUGGAAUGGUAAAAAUAUUUGUAAUAGACAAAUUACUUAAAAAUGAAAUUUUACCAGCAUUGCAGUUUAGACUGGAUACUUACAUGAGUUUGCAAUCAUACAAGAUAAUUGCAAUAGAGGUUUACGAAGAUAAUGAUGGACACCAUAUGUUUCUAGCAACUGACGAUAAUAUAUGUGAAUUGUUAAUGUAAAGCUUAUUCCGUUUUUUUAUUGGGGAAAUAGUCAGAAAUUUUGGAACAUUAACUGUACACAUAAUUAUUGUGCCUGAUUUUCUUAUGAAUUAUUACAGGUAAUAUAUAGGGGUGCCUGAUGGCUAUCGACUAUUUUAAUAUUAAUUGUUUAUUUAGCAAUAAAAUAUAUUAAAAUAACGGGAA